rnacentral:rRNA from 1 species
AACGAACGCUGGCGGCAGGCCUAACACAUGCAAGUCGAACGAACCCUUCGGGGUGAGUGGCGCACGGGUGCGUAACACGUGGGAAUAUACACAUAGGUAAGGAAUAACUCAGGGAAACUUGCGCUAAUACCUUAUAAUAACUCCGGUUCAAAGAUUUAUCGCCUAUGGAUUAGCCCGCGCUAGAUUAGUUUGUUGGUGAGGUAAGAGCUCACCAAGACUACGAUCUAUAGCUGGUCUUAGAGGAUGAUCAGCCACACUGGAACUGAGACACGGUCCAGACUCCUACGGGAGGCAGCAGUGGGGAAUAUUGGACAAUGGGGGAAACCCUGAUCCAGCAAUGCCGCGUGCGUGAAGAAGGCCUUAGGGUUGUAAAGCGCUUUCACCUGUGAUGAUGAUGACAGUAGCAGGAGAAGAAGCCCCGGCUAACUCCGUG